GACUUAGUCUGUGUGUGUGACAGCUGGUGAACCAGACUCUCCUGAGGGGCUCUGUCUAGAUGAGAUCUGACCGUGGACAGCGAGUGAGUGACAAGCCGUCCCCUGCUCGCUCUGGGCUGACAUGGCAGUCAUGGAUGCUGUUAAUUUUGCUGUUUACAGAAAGAAGUCCGGGCUGACUCUGCACUCCAGCUCCAGCGUUUCUGACCUCACUCCUCCCUUCAACCUUGCCACAGAGCAUCUGCUGUCUCUCCACUUCACGCAGGGAAACCCGGGCUCCAGAGAUGGUGAUCUGCUCUGCUUGCCUCCAUCCGUGUCAACAGGACUCCAACCAGGCGUCCUGGCUCUGGACCGUGGGUGGGACCAGCACACCCUAGCACUCCCUCUGCCCGCUUACAGUUCCUAAGGGGCAAAUUUCAAACAUAGGCUGGGUCAAGUGCUAUCUUCACCAAGAUAACUUUUCUGAGUAUCCUUUUGCUGAAGAAUGGCAGUAACUGUGCCCCUGGAAGGGUGGGAAAAUUACAUAUAGAUGCGUAUAUAGCCACCAUAUGUGACUAUUGGAUUUGAAGACCUAACAUUGCCCUAAUUACCUUUUGACAUUGAGCAUGAUGUCGUCUACAGAUGUGCUGGGACACAUUCACGGAUAUGUGAUAGAUGCACCUGCAGGCCACAGGUUGGGAAUGUCUGUCAGAGGUAACAGCCAGCACAUAGUGCUUAUUUGCUGCAGUGAGAGCAGUACAUGAUUUCUCAUGAUGCAAUGGACACGCACAUCCUUGGGGACCUUAUAGGGAUUUCACUUCUUAUGAACAUCCUGGGGAAGAGACCCUACUUCACGUAGUAAUACUGUAGCAUGUGAAGCAUUGUGCGAGUGUUCUGAAUGGCUCAUUGUGCGGAGAGGCAUGGCCAAAUCUGUAGAAAGUGCUGGAAGCUGCAGGGAUGUCUAGGAGUGUGGGCAGGAGCCAGCGUGGAGUAUUCCUCCAGGUAUAAGAUUGCCAGAAGGGCUUCCAAGGCUGCUGCCCAGAUUCCCCACAUCCUGAAACCUCAUGGGGCUUUGGUGGCAACUGUGCCCAUCCUGGGGACAUUCAGAAGAGGAUGGAAAGAUGUCAACAGGCCGUAGCCUGCAUGACAAAAUAUACUCAUUGGUAAUGAUGUGGCCAAAUCUUCCCAGCCAGAAAUUACUUUUAAAAAAGUCAUCCUUUCUCAGGAAUGCCAAAGGACACAUUUAUGCUCCUGGCAGAAGGGGGAGCAGGGCUGACAGCAGGCACCUGGUGUUGCUCUGUCUGGCAGUUUUUUUCUUCAUAUUCUGUAUGACUGUGGUUUGCAAACUGAAUUAUGUGCAUUAAGUUAAUUGCCAUCCAAUUAACAAAUAUUUUCCAUUCA